GGCUCAGAACGAACGCUGGCGGCGCGUCUUAAGCAUGCAAGUCGAACGGCAUGAGGAAGCUUGCUUCCUCAGAGAGUGGCGGACUGGUGAGUAACACGUGGGUGACCUACCCUUGAGAUGGGGAUAGCCGUUAGAAAUAGCGGAUAAUACCGAAUACGCUCUACGGACUCUGGUUUGUAGAGGAAACAGGCUACGGCCUGGCUCGAGGAUGGGCCCGCGUCCCAUUAGCUAGUUGGUGAGGUAAGAGCCCACCAAGGCGACGAUGGGUAUCCGGCCUGAGAGGGUGUACGGACACAUUGGGACUGAGAUACGGCCCAAACUCCUACGGGAGGCAGCAGCUAAGAAUAUUCCGCAAUGGACGAAAGUCUGACGGAGCGACGCCGCGUGGAUGAACCGAAGGCCGAAAGGUUGUAAAAUCCUUUUGCUGAUGAAGAAUAAGCGUGGUAGGGAAUGACCGCGUGAUGACAUUAGUCGGUGAAUAAGCCCCGGCUAACUACGUGCCAGCAGCUGC
rnacentral:rRNA from 1 species